CGGAGGAAAAGAAACCAACAGGGAUUGCCUUAGUAACGGCGAGUGAAGCGGCAAAAGCUCAAUUUGAAAUCGCUUCGGCGAGUUGUAAGUAAAGUGGUUAGACGCUUUUUAAUAAGUCCCUUGGAACAGGGCGCCAUAGAGGGUGAUAGCCCCGUAUUAAAUUGUCUAGUGUGCUACUUUAGAGCGAGUCGAGUUGUUUGGGAAUGCAGCUCAAAUAGGUGGUAAACUCCAUCUAAAGCUAAAUAUUGCUGGGAGACCGAUAGCGAACAAGUACAGUGAUGGAAAGAUGAAAAGCACUUUGAAAAGAGAGUGAAAUAGCGUGUGAAAUUGUUGGAGGGGAAGGCGAUGGUAGGAAUAAGAGGCUGCGGUUUGAAAUAAAUGUUUUUCGGGCCACGGUCUCCUGAGCCUGCUUUCGCACCCGUCUUGANNCACGG
rnacentral:rRNA from 1 species